rnacentral:rRNA from 1 species
CAGUCGCCACGGGAAUACAGAGGGUGCGAGCGUUAAUCGGAUUUACUGGGCGUAAAGCGUGCGUAGGCGGCUUCUUAAGUCGGAUGUGAAAUCCCUGAGCUUAACUUAGGAAUUGCAUUCGAUACUGGGAAGCUAGAGUAUGGGAGAGGAUGGUAGAAUUCCAGGUGUAGCGGUGAAAUGCGUAGAGAUCUGGAGGAAUACCGAUGGCGAAGGCAGCCAUCUGGCAUAAUACUGACGCUGAGGUACGAAAGCAUGGGGAGCAAACAGGAUUAGAUACCCCUGUAGUCCCUGUCUCUUAUAC